rnacentral:tRNA from 1 species
GGAGAGAUGGCUGAGCGGUUGAAAGCACCGGUCUUGAAAACCGGCACAGGGGUAACUCUGUCGUGAGUUCAAAUCUCACUCUCUCCGCCA